GGUCCUGGGAGCCCCGCCCAAAUCCCCGCCUCACCCCCGCCCCGCCUCCUCGAAGUUGACCCCGCCCUCAGGCUCCAGGAGCUGGCUCCGCCCCCACACGCGAUUUCCCGGCUUUCCAGACCUGCGGAUCUGUGUUCCCGCGCGGGUUCGAUAGGGCUGGUGAUCCAGUUGACUUACUCCGAGCCGCGAGAUCCCGCGAGAGCAGGGAAUUGACUAUUUUUCUUAAGGCGGGAGCGGAGCGCUGGGGUUAACUGUUCGAGAAGGCUGCAGUUACUGAGAGAACAGAUUGAAGACACCUGCAAGGAAGUUGUCAUCACUCAGUGUCUUCUGGAAGUCAGCUGGCCUGAGCCACAAACCCAAAGGAAGUUGCCCUGGAGAGCACUUUGCUUUGUAAAGAUGGCAAAGAUAUUGCGGGCACCAGUGUUUUCAAGUUGAACUUCCUUGUUGAAAUUCACUUCACAAAAGAAACACUGCCUAAUGAAGGCAGAAUGGCAUUGUCAAGAUGGAAAAAAAUUCUGUGCUUUACAGUCGCCAGGGAUGGCAGAAGUAGCUUAUGGAAGAGGAAUGAAGGCCAACAGCAGAGUUUGAAAUUACUCCAAAAGUAUCACGUGGAUGAAUGGGAAAUUCCCAGUGUAUCUGUGGAGAAAACUGGUUCUAUUGGAUACUGGACAUCAGAGAUAACUGAGUUUUCCCCAGCAAAGGGGAUGGCCACACCAGCAACUCUGCAGCAGCUCCUUCCAGUCACUCCAUUUUGCCAUCAUUCCCUUGGCCCCACGAGAGAAGAGCAGAGCAAGGGACACAGCAUUCCUUCCAGAUGGGCUUCGGGAGAUAACCACGGGGCUCUGUUAAGCACUGAUAUUGGAAAGAGAACGCAAACAGCAAUUGCAACUUGUCUAUUAACAUCCUGUGAAAACUACCAAAAGCAGCCUGGAUGGUUGCUGGAGAACUUCACAGCCAUUGUCACCAAGUCCCUCUGUCUGAACUGCCAUCCUAGGAUCCACCUAGAUCAACGCAGCCUGUCCCGUCACACCUGGCGUUCUCUGAUCUGUAAUCCCACCGCUCUCUGUUCAUAGCAUCCUGUGCAUACUGCCAGGAGCGUAAAUCCACAGAGGACAGGACCUCUGUGCCUCUGUUUUACGAACCUAAACGGUACCUGAUACACAGCAGACGACCGGCAAAUGUUGUUGACUGGAUGUCUAAGUGGGUCAGUACGUGUAAAGCAGGGAGAAACAGUGCAGCCACAACUGCCUUCUGUACGGAGAAUGGAGAGUGGAUUCUCUACCCUGAAAAGCCCCUCACCUGAGCGUCAGGGUGGAUUUAGGCAGGAACGAAAUGGUCCGGAUUUGAACUGCCUGCAAGGAACAGAAUGACUCUGCACAACAGACAGCAAGAGCACCCCAGAGCUGGAGUGUCGGGGCGGGAGAGCUCUCGGCAAGAGGGGCGGCCUGGGGGAGAGUGGGCAGGGCGGUGCGCGAGAAGACCGCACGAGUGGGGGCGCGGCGCGGGGUGAAACAGACGGGAGAGUUCCGGUGACGGGGGCCCAACAGACCCACGACAGGAAUGUGCCCCAUGCCAUUUGAAGUUGACUGCUGCGUUCUCCCAUGACCCCAAAACUCUCAGUUCAAGUUUUGAAACAUUAUCAGUUUUGUUUUCUUGAUGGCUUUGUGUGGGAGGAGGAGAGGCAGAUAGGGAGAGGGAGAAGAGAAGAGAAGGAAUUGUGACCCAAGCUUGGGUUUAUGUCAGGACAGAGAUAAAGAAACUGCUGCAAGAUGCAGAGUACAUCGGAAGGCAGGAAGUCAGAGCACAGCCCACUGCAAAUGCAACAGGACUCGGGGCAUUCUUUGGCCUUCAGAUGGACAUGACAUGGGAAUUGUGUGCUUCUAAUCUUCACCAGAUCUCAAGGGGUUAGACAGUCCCAGCAAACACCUGGGGCAUCAUUCUGCCAUAAAGGUUAAUUUUCUUGUCUGUGACCCAUUUGGACUAUGAGUCCCUUAAAGGCAGGGAUUUCCUUAUUUGGAAAAGCAUAUAAACCUCUAGGGAGAAGGCAAUGGCACCCCACUCCAGUACUCUUGCCUGGAAAAUCCCAUGGGCAGAGGAGCCUGGUAGGCUGCAGUCCAUGGGGUC